rnacentral:rRNA from 1 species
GAGUUUGAUCUUGGCUCAGGAUGAACGCUGGCGGCGUGCCUAAUACAUGCAAGUCGAACGCUUCACUUCGGUGAAGAGUGGCGAACGGGUGAGUAAUACAUAAGUAACCUGGCAUCUACAGGGGGAUAACUGAUGGAAACGUCAGCUAAGACCGCAUAGGUGUAGAGAUCGCAUGAACUCUAUAUGAAAAGUGCUACGGGACUGGUAGAUGAUGGACUUAUGGCGCAUUAGCUUGUUGGUAGGGUAACGGCCUACCAAGGCGACGAUGCGUAGCCGACCUGAGAGGGUGACCGGCCACACUGGGACUGAGACACGGCCCAGACUCCUACGGGAGGCAGCAGUAGGGAAUUUUCGGCAAUGGGGGAAACCCUGACCGAGCAACGCCGCGUGAAGGAAGAAGUAAUUCGUUAUGUAAACUUCUGUCAUAGAGGAAGAACGGUGGAUAUA